GGGGCUGACAUCGAUUCGACAAUUAGAUUUGAAGGAACAAUACAAGUCGAGAAUGAGUGUAUCUCGUAAACCACCACUCAAAUUAAAAAUAAAUGCAAACAACAUUUUAAAGUUAUUUACUAAGCGUCCUGUUUUAGCGUUUGCUUAAACCGUUUAGCUUCACAAUUAGCCGUUUUUACUAAACUGUGAAGAAAUUAUAAAAGUGCUGCUGAUACUAUAAGCUAAGAAACAUUUAUCUAUAUAAAUACCUACAUAUCACUAUGUAACCAGAGCUUGCAAUAAUAUUGACUGGUAUAAUCUAAUUGGACGUGGGUUCAAAUCCCACCAGUUCCAAAA
rnacentral:tmRNA from 1 species